rnacentral:rRNA from 1 species
GAUGAACGCUAGCGGGAGGCUUAAUACAUGCAAGUCGAGGGGUAGAGUUAAUUUCGGUUGACUUGAGACCGGCGCACGGGUGAGUAACGCGUACACUACCUACCUUACACUGGGGGAUAGAUACUGGAAACGGUGAGUAAUACCCCAUGGUAUCGAGAGAUUAAAGCUACGGCGGUGUAAGAUGGGUGUGCGUAUCAUUAGCUAGUUGGUGAGGUAACGGCUUACCAAGGCUACGAUGAUUAGGGGGCGUGAGAGCGUGAUCCCCCACACGGGUACUGAGACACGGACCCGACUCCUACGGGAGGCAGCAGUAAGGAAUAUUGGACAAUGGGCGGAAGCCUGAUCCAGCCAUCCCGCGUGCAGGAUGACGGCCCUACGGGUUGUAAACUGCUUUUAUAUGAGAAGAAUAGUGUUGAUUUAUCAGCAUGUGACGGUAUCAUAUGAAUAAGCACCGGCUAACUCCG